GAUGAACGCUGGCGGCGUGCCUAAUACAUGCAAGUCGAGCGAACAGACGAGGAGCUUGCUCCUCUGACGUUAGCGGCGGACGGGUGAGUAACACGUGGAUAACCUACCUAUAAGACUGGGAUAACUUCGGGGAAACCGGAGCUAAUACCGGAUAAUAUAUUGAACCGCAUGGUUCAAUAGUGAAAGACGGUUUUGCUGUCAUUUAUAGAUGGAUCCGCGCCGCAUUAGCUAGUUGGUAAGGUAACGGCUUACCAAGGCAACGAUGCGUAGCCGACCUGAGAGGGUGAUCGGCCACACUGGAACUGAGACACGGUCCAGACUCCUACGGGAGGCAGCAGUAGGGAAUCUUCCGCAAUGGGCGAAAGCUUGACGGAGCAACGCCGCGUGAGUGAUGAAGGUCUUCGGAUCGUAAAACUCUGUUAUUAGGGAAGAACAAAUGUGUAAGUAACUAUGCACGUCUUGACGGUACCUAAUCAGAAAGCCACGGCUAACUACGUG
rnacentral:rRNA from 1 species